UCCCAAGCCUUCUGGCGAUCUCUUAUAAAGAAAGCCCUCCAUAAUAAAUUGAAAAGGGUCCUUUGGGGAAAAGUUUUCCCUUUGCUAAGAUGAAGCCGGGGAAGGUUUUCCGGUUUAUCCCGGAGGGCUUGUAGCUCAGUUGGUUAGAGCGCGCGCUUGAUAAGCGUGAGGUCGGAGGUUCAAGUCCUCCCAGGCCCACCAAUCAUUCUAUCAAUCUAUAAGCGCUUGUGGAAAUUGCUCAUAGAAAACUUUCUUUAUUCAUUUAUGAAAAAUCUCCUUAUAGAGAGACGCUUUUCCCUUUGGGUUUGAAAAUUCAAAAUUAAAGGUGUUAAAGUGGCUUUAAAGGAAAAGUGACAAAGAAUAAGGAAUAACGAUUUAAGUUAUCCCUUUUUGGUGAUCUUGAUUUGGGUGUUUUGAAUGCGUUAU
rnacentral:misc_RNA from 1 species